rnacentral:misc_RNA from 1 species
AGGUUGCCUAUGAUCCCUAUCAAAAGCUUUACCAUGAGGAUUAGGGUGCCUAUAGUUCCUAUCAAAGGUUCUACUAUUAGAAUUAGGUUGUCUACGGUCCUAUCAUAGGCUCUACCAUAAGGAUAAUAAUGCUCAAAACGGUGGUCAUGCCUAAAGUGACUAUUUGGUGGUUCAUCAAGAACAUACUCAUAAUACCCAAUAUGUGUCCUAUCUUUAAAGUGCAAAGGAA